rnacentral:tRNA from 1 species
GCCGAAAUAGCUCACUUGGGAGAGCGUUAGACUGAAGAUCUAAAGGUAGGUACCUUUAAUCCCGGGUUUCGGCA